CAUGAACCCCAAGAGGCAAGGAUGACAGGAGCCAUCUUGAAGGCUGGCGACCACAGAUCCACACCUAACUCCAAACCACCAAAUUACUCGGAGUGUGUGUCGGCCUGCCCACGGUGCGGUGAGCCCAUGUGACUAGACCCCGGACGAUGGACUAAGAGGGAAGAGGACGUGCCUAAGUUCCGGGCUGAGGCCUUAAGAACCCAUGCACUCUUCUCCUGUUACUUUUCCCUGCGGCAACAAGCAAGGAGUCCUCAUUCCAGGGAGUGUGACCGCAUCGUGGUGCUAAUUCCCUUC
rnacentral:lncRNA from 1 species